GGGGAGCGGGGCGGCUGCCGCAGGACAGCACGGGCCCUCGGGCACCUGCGCCCACCCGCGACGGCUCUCCCGGGUCUCCCGCGGCGCCUGAGCCUGGUGCAGCAAGUUGGGGGGAUCCCCGCACAGAUGAAGCCGAUUUAGAAACAGCAGCGCUCCGGGAUCCAGCGCCGUUUAUUGGUGGCAACAAGUGACGGCGCCCCCAGCCCCGGGCCCCCGCGCUGCGGCGGCUUUACCGCCCACGCGCCCUGCUACACUCAGGAUCUGACACUGCGGGGACCCGCGGCCCCAAUCUCCGGCCCGGCGUGCUUUAGAGCCUGGACAGGGCCACCCCCUCCGGGGCCGGCAACGGACUCGUGUCCGCGCGCCCGCCGGGGACGCUCCUGCGAUGUCCCACGUGGCGCUGUGGCCUCGCCGGGCGCCGGAGCCUGGGGGCGACGGACACCUUCGAGGUGGGGCGAGGGUGUACAACAAGCUGAUGAGCUGAAACCAAGUCGUCUCCGGGGCGAGGAGCCGCUCCCAGUUCCGGGGCAGCGCCAGGCGACGCGGCCACACAGGCGGGGCAGGGUCAGAGGCGCCGGGGAACCGGGGUGAUUGGGGGCGCACGUGGGACCAGGUGCUCAUGGCCCUCCGCCAGCCAGGGCUCAGUGCAGCGUACUUUCGGUGUAGGGGACGGGUCGCAGCCUGCGGGACUGCCGCGAACAGGGCGUGUAGGCGCCACCUUCCCAAGCCAGGGCACACCUUCACCCGGCAGGACUUGGAAACUGUACGCUUCCCAUACGGGUAAGAGGAAAAGGAGAUUCUUAGGAUUUUGCAGGUGCAAGUCCUCAGUGACUCCCUAAUUCAGGUUUCGGGGAAGUAGCGCCCGGACCCGUCGUAAACUCAGCAGCGACACAGGGGAUCGCUCCGGGGUUUGUGUGCGAGGGAUGGGUUCGAGAUGGCUGCGCUCCGCCCCUUUCGCUGCCAGCUGUGCACUUGUGGUGGCCACGGAGACGGCAGCCUCCUAAAGGUUAGAUGCUGCACGGCGUUGCUUUUCUGUUAUUAAUACGUGGAGACCCAUUCCUACCGUGCGUCUUCUUUCUGUCCGUUGUUUCCACCUGUGCUGAUCAGGACAUUUGAGCCCCGGUUUUAAUGUGAUUAUUAUUGGAGCAGGAAAAAAAAAAAAAAAAGAUUACAGCAGGGAUUGGCGGUUCCUCUGCGGUCCUUCCUAAGGGUCAGGUUUUAUGUUGCGGUGUGAGAGAGGGGUCUCGCCCAGGUCCUUAGGUGCCCAGCGCCUAAUAGGGACACCACCCCGAUCGUGACAGGCGAGCACUCGGAAGUGUUUGUGAAUGACCCAGUGUGCAGCUUUUCAGGAAUCACACUGGAUGGACACCUUAAAGGUCCACUGAACGCGUGCUUCUGCUUCCCUGGGGAGCUCUUGGGUUUGGUUGCUCUAAGUCCUAGUUCCACACCUUUCACUAUGCAAGGGACUCUUUUUCAAGCGUUGAUGUUAUUGAAGUCCGGAACAACAAUUCAAAUCAUGUAUAUUGUGUGGAGUGUACAUGUUUAUUUAAAAUAUACCCAGUGACAAAAACUGUGAAAUCUAUCUUCUUAGAGACAUCAGCAAAUAACAGAUUUCUGCUUCUAGGGACCAUUCCAAUUAAAGGAUGGCUGCCCUGAGCCACCCUCAGCGAAUAUUGUAAAGAAGUGGCUGUGCAGAGCUAGUCUGGGGAUGAUUCAUGGCUGCCAGCGACUAUACUUGCUUCCAUUUGUGAUACUAACAUUAGGUUGUAGGUUGUCCAUCUUUAGUCUUUCCACAUGACAUCUGUCAGACCAAGGACAGGCGGCCCAGCACACCCAGCUAUAGUGAAGACAAGGAUGAUCCCUGCACGAUUUCCACCGGGCACUGGGAAGGAGCUACAAUACCAUUGUGUUGAAGGAGCUACAUACCCAUUAUGGCGACAACUCUAAGGACUGAGCACCAUGAACGUCACAAUCCACUAUGUUAAGCAGUGCCCUUUUUAUGGGGCCUUUCAAAAAUAAUUAUUGCUGACCUAAGUUCCAGAAAAAGCUGUACUUUCCCUGAGAUCAUCCAUUCAAAUAACAAAAUUUACCAGGUGCAUUCUGCAUACCAGGCCUGGUGGCAGGGCCAGCCUAGGACAAACAACAGUUUUAAAAUUUUUUGAUAGCAGAAAAAUGGAAGAAACUGUCUCAGGAGCCAUAAAUACUUAACAUGACUUGGAAAACGUGUAAUAAA